rnacentral:tRNA from 1 species
GCCAUGGCUCAGGGGCAAAGCAUCUGUUUUGUAUACUCAAGGUCUUGGGUUCAAUCCCAGGUAUCUCCA